GUGUUGUAUGAAAGGAGAGAAGGUUAGCACUCCCCUUGAUAAGGAUGGAAGAGGCCCUUGUGGUCUGUACAACACGCAUAUGGUUAAGGCAACGCCGCUUACCUCGCGGCAUCUAACCAUGGUUUUUU
rnacentral:ncRNA from 1 species